GGAUCAUUACCUAGAGUUGCGGGCUUUGCCUGCUAUCUCUUACCCAUGUCUUUUGAGUACCUUCGUUUCCUCGGCGGGUUCGCCCGCCGAUUGGACAAUUUAAACCAUUUGCAGUUGCAAUCAGCGUCUKAAAAAACUUAAUAGUUACAACUUUCAACAACGGAUCUCUUGGUUCUGGCAUCGAUGAAGAACGCAGCGAAAUGCGAUAAGUAGUGUGAAUUGCAGAAUUCAGUGAAUCAUCGAAUCUUUGAACGCACAUUGCGCCCCUUGGUAUUCCAUGGGGCAUGCCUGUUCGAGCGUCAUUUGUACCUUCAAGCUCUGCUUGGUGUUGGGUGUUUGUCUCGCCUCUGCGCGCAGACUCGCCUCAAAACAAUUGGCAGCCGGCGUAUUGAUUUCGGAGCGCAGUACAUCUCGCGCUUUGCACUCAUAACGACGACGUCCAAAAGUACAUUUUUACACUCUUGACCUCGGAUCAGGUAGGGAUACCCGCUGAACUU
rnacentral:rRNA from 1 species